rnacentral:lncRNA from 1 species
GUUUUCACUCUCCUUGCUUUCCCAGUGACUGCAAAUAGUCAUAAAUACAUACGGGGGGGGGGGGGGGGAAAAAAAAAUUGGAAAAAAAAAAAUGUUGCAGUGUUCUCUUUUGUUGAUGUGAAUGUUUGGGAGCAGCUGAGCCAAAAAGCAGCAGCCUAUGUUCCUCCACGGGGGGGAAAAAGCAGCUACUUUUAACCCAGAGCAUUGCCCUGUCCCCACUCACCAUGUGGCUGCAGGAACAUCUGGCAGAAGAGAGAGAGAGAGAUAUGCAAGUGGCAAUAAGCAGGCAGAGGACUGGAAGACUGAAUGAAUACGACAGAGAAGCCUGUGAGCAUGCUGCAAUGAGCAGUCACCAUUCCUGCAAAGACUCAUGCUUUUUUACUUCACUCUUGCCUGCUGAAAGUAAUCAGAAAUUUCAUAUACAGUUCUUACUACGAAGACGCUCUGGAGUGUCAGCAUGCUCCUGUAGUUAAGAAUGAAAGGAAGGGUCCGUGGAUAUAUUACAUCUCUGUGCCGUCCCCCUAUAAUAAGAAACCUUCUAAGAGUGUGAAGAGUUGCUCCCUCUCCUUUUGUGUUUGCUUAGUUAGGUAGUGGCUUUUAGCAUGUAUAUCAAGCUAAGCAAACAAAAGCGCACAGUAAAUAUCCACGUAUAAUAUAGUUUCUUCCUGCAUUUUCUGGUUUGAACAUUAACUGUACACAGCCAGGAAGGAGUAUGAAUAUACAGACAGGAAAAACUACCACUGAAUUAUUGUGCAAGCUACUUAGCACCUAGAAUCACUGCAUUUUUCAAAGGGACUUUUAAAAUACUGCAUCAAUACAAGUGACAGAAUACACCCAGGAUGUGAGAGGGGUUUCAUAUGUAUAAUUUGGCAAUGGCGUAUAAUGGGUAUAAUAUUUGUAACAGCUGUUAGGUGCUCUGAAGCUACACUACAUUUAUGGAAUUUUCCAUUGAGCUCUAAAUAUUCAGGUCACAUACACAGUUAAAUUUCCUGCAGUGGCAGUACAGAUAAAAGCACUCCAACCGUAUGCCAUAAUUGUGCUCUAUUUAGAGAGUGCAGCAACUUAGGCAUUUUCACAGCAGUCGUCUUAGAUACCAUAUACAUUCUGCUUUAUAAAUGCCAAUUCAUUAGCGCAUGUAACACAUAGCAUGCUGCUCUUUAAAAAAAAAAAAAAAAGAGAGACUGCUAUGUUUCAGUGAGGAAUAAAUAUACAGAAAAAAGCCCUCUUACUUAGAAG